GACGAACGCUGGCGGCGUGCCUAAUACAUGCAAGUCGAACGCAGUGGGGACGGGUGAGUAACCCGUGGGUAACCUCCCAUCAGAGGGGAUAACCCUUGGACACAGGUGCUAAACCGAUACUGAUGGAUGGACCCGCGGUGCAUUAGCUAGUUGGUGAGGUAACGGCCCACCAAGGCCACGAUGCUUAGCCGACCCGAGAGGGUGAGCGGUCACACUGGAACUGAGACACGGCCCAGACUCCUACGGGAGGCAGCAGUAGGGAAUCUUCGGCAAUGGACGAAAGUCUGACCGAGCAACGCCGCGUGUGUGAAGAAGGUCUUCGGAUCGUAAAGCUCUUUUGUUUGAGAAGCGUUAUCUAACCAGAAAGCCACGGCUAACUUCGUGCCAGCAGCCGCGGUAAUUC
rnacentral:rRNA from 1 species